AUUGAUUUUAUGCUUGCAUAAAUGAUUUUUGGAUUCGGAGCGAGUGGCGAACUGGUGAGUAACACGUGGGUAACCUGCCCCGAAGCGGGGGAUAACAUUUGGAAACAAGUGCUAAUACCGCAUAAUUAGUUGGAACCGCAUGGUUCCAACUUGAAAGAUGGCUCUGCUAUCACUUUGGGAUGGACCCGCGCCGUAUUAGUUAGUUGGUGAGAUAAAAGCCCACCAAGACGAUGAUACGUAGCCGACCUGAGAGGGUAAUCGGCCACAUUGGGACUGAGACACGGCCCAGACUCCUACGGGAGGCAGCAGUAGGGAAUCUUCCACAAUGGACGAAAGUCUGAUGGAGCAACGCCGCGUGAGUGAUGAAGGUUUUCGGAUCGUAAAACUCUGUUGUUAAAGAAGAACAAGUGUUAGAGUAACUGUUAACACUUUGACGGUAUUUAACCAGAAAGCCACGGCUAACUACGUGCCAGCAGCCGCGGUAAUACGUAGGUGGCAAGCGUUGUCCGGAUUUAUUGGGCGUAAAGCGAGCGCAGGCGGUUUUGUAAGUCUGCUGUGAAAGCCCUCAGCUCAACUGAGGAAGUGCAGUGGAAACUACAAAACUUGAGUACAGAAGAGGAAAGUGGAACUCCAUGUGUAGCGGUGAAAUGCGUAGAUAUAUGGAAGAACACCAGUGGCGAAGGCGGCUUUCUGGUCUGUUACUGACGCUGAGGCUCGAAAGCAUGGGUAGCGAACAGGAUUAGAUACCCUGGUAGUCCAUGCCGUAAACGAUGAAUACUAGGUGUUGGAGGGUUUCCGCCCUUCAGUGCCGCAGCUAACGCAUUAAGUAUUCCGCCUGGGGAGUACGACCGCAAGGUUGAAACUCAAAGGAAUUGACGGGGGCCCGCACAAGUGGUGGAGCAUGUGGUUUAAUUCGAUGCUACGCGAAGAACCUUACCAGCUCUUGACAUCUUCUGCUAACCCAAGAGAUUGGGCGUUCCCUUCGGGGACAGAAUGACAGGUGGUGCAUGGUUGUCGUCAGCUCGUGUCGUGAGAUGUUGGGUUAAGUCCCGCAACGAGCGCAACCCUUAUUAUUAGUUGCCAGCAUUUAGUUGGGCACUCUAGUGAGACUGCCGGUGAUAAA
rnacentral:rRNA from 1 species